GACGAACGCUGGCGGCGUGCUUAACACAUGCAAGUCGAACGGAAAGGCCCUGCUUUUGUGGGGUGCUCGAGUGGCGAACGGGUGAGUAACACGUGAGUAACCUGCCCUUGACUUUGGGAUAACUUCAGGAAACUGGGGCUAAUACCGGAUAGGAGCUCCUGCUGCAUGGUGGGGGUUGGAAAGUUUCGGCGGUUGGGGAUGGACUCGCGGCUUAUCAGCUUGUGGGUGGGGUAGUGGCUUACCAAGGCUUUGACGGGUAGCCGGCCCGAGAGGGUGACCGGCCACAUUGGGACUGAGAUACGGCCCAGACUCCUACGUGAGGCAGCAGUGGGGAAUAUUGCACAAUGGGCGGAAGCCUGAUGCAGCAACGCCGCGUGCGGGAUGACGGCCUUCGGGUUGUAAACCGCUUUCGCCUGUGACGAAGCGUGAGUGACGGUAAUGGGUAAAGAAGCACCGGCUAACUACGUG
rnacentral:rRNA from 1 species